rnacentral:rRNA from 1 species
UCGAGAAUAUUCGACAAUGGACGAAAGUCUGAUCGAGCGACACCGCGUGCAGGAUGAAGGCCUUCGGGUCGUAAACUGCGGUAGUAAGAUAAUAAUUUUACGAAUGUCUUACGGAAAGAGGUGGGUAACUACGUGCCAGCACCAGCGGUAAUACGUAGACCUCAAGCGUUAUCCGGAUUUAUUGGGCGUAAAGCGCAUGUAGGAGGUUUUGCGCGUCUUUGGUUAAAGCCCACCGCCUAACGGUGGAAGUGCCAAGGAUACGGCAGAACUAGAGGGAGUUAGGGGUGCAUGGAACUCACGGUGUAGGGGUGAAAUCCGUUGAUAUCGUGGGGAACACCAAAGGCGAAGGCAGUGCACUGGGACUUUCCUGACUCUGAGAUGCGAAAGCGUGGGGAGCAAA